ACGGGAGCAGUGAGUGGAUCGAGAAGGUGCAGACAACGCACCUUUUACCCGCUCUAGCAUUUUCCAGAACAGGUGGACGGCAUUCGGUAGCCCCACUGACCCACACCAAUCCUUUCUGCUGCUCCUCCAAAAAUGAUUGCUCUCGUCGUCUCCGCAUCCGUAAAACAUCGACAGCUAAUGACUCGGAUGCCAUGUACUGAUGGAAAUGUAUCGUUUGCUUCCCCUGAUGAUGAUGAUGAUGAUGAGCCAGCAAACCUUCCUGCACAACUCUCCCGGUGCUAAUCACUGGGAUGAAACUACUCUUAAGCCUUUCGGAAGCUUUUCUUCGGAAAUGGAGGCUUCCGAUCACAAGUGCUGUGCAUGAAACAUCGUUUGCGAGCAAAUCCUGUUGCCCUGUGCGCUCAGCAGUCCGCAGCUUGUUGUUGUUGGUGUGCUGCCACACCUCUUUUGCCUUGGCUGCGAGGUGGUGGCCACUGAGUUCCGUUUCGGAUCGCAGAAGAUGACCACAUUCCCCAAUCAGAUACUCGGUUGAUGUGUACUCUCACGUCGACUACAAACCACCCGCCCAUGUCCAAGAAUCCAAAAGUUCCCCAUCCCUCUCAUCCUACUCUUCCCCAAUCCCCUUCGUUGCUUCCACUCCACCAACCUGUUCCUGCGGUGCACCACACGCUGCCCUUCCCCUUUAAAGCCCUCGCAGCGCCACCGCCACGCAGGAAAGGAGAGCAUAUCAACGGUAGUAGCGGCAGCGGCGACGACAGUGACAUGGCUGGUCUAAGCGUUCUCUUGGAAACACACAACAGCUUGCCAAAAUACACUCACAUCAUAAGCAAAACCUCCCUCGUUAAGAACUCUUCUCUCUCUUCUCCUCCUUCCUCCUUCGCCACCAGCCCUUUCCUGGAACGCUGCUACCUUUGCCGGAAGAAGCUGCAACAGGGCAAUGAUAUCUACAUGUACAGGGGGGACCGAGCGUUCUGCAGCGUGGAGUGCCGCUGCCGCCAGAUAUUUAUGGACGAGGAGAGCGGGCGGAGGGACCAAUGCUCCCUCGCCGCCGCGGCUGCCUCGGCGGCUGACGCCGGAGCCCAGUCGGAGCGCUGCCGGCCGGGGAGGGCGACCCGAAAAGGGCGGGCCGUGGCCGGUGGUUUCGCGUAGUGUCGUUACUGCUUUGGCCAAGCACCUGGUUUUGGUGUAUUGACCAAAAUACCCUCGCCUUCCUGUUUUCCCCCUCUUCAUUCCAUUCUUAAGGGAAUGGGUUUGCGGGAGCCUCAUGUACUCUGUUCCUUCUCAGAUUACAUUGUUUUGUUCUUACUUCGAUAAAUAAACAUAUUAUAUAUAUAUAUAUAUAUAUAUAUUAGAUUAA